AAGAUUAAGCCAUGCAUGUCUAAGUACGAGCCGCUAGUCGGCGAAACCGCGAAUGGCUCAAUAAAUCAGUUAUGGUUCCUUAGAUCGUACCAUCCUACUUGGAUAACUGUGGUAAUUCUAGAGCUAAUACAUGCACUCAAGCCCCGACUCUCGGUUUCGGCCGGGCAGGAGGGGUGCUUUUAUUAGAUCAAAACCAAUCGGGGGGCUCGCUCCCCGUCCUUUUUGGUGACUCUGAAUAACUUUUCGCCGAUCGCACGGCCUCGAGCCGGCGACGCAUCUUUCAAAUGUCUGCCUUAUCAACUUUCGAUGGUAGGUUAUGCGCCUACCAUGGUUGCAACGGGUAACGGGGAAUCGGGGUUCGAUUCCGGAGAGGGAGCCUGAGAAACGGCUACCACAUCCAAGGAAGGCAGCAGGCGCGCAAAUUACCCACUCCCGGCACGGGGAGGUAGUGACGAAAAAUAACGAUACGGGACUCUUCCGAGGCCCCGUGAUUGGAAUGAGUACACUUUAAAUCCUUUAACGAGGACCUAUUGGAGGGCAAGUCUGGUGCCAGCAGCCGCGGUAACUCCAGCUCCAAUAGCGUAUAUUAAAGUUGUUGCGGUUAAAAAGCUCGUAGUUGGAUUCCUGUCUUCGGCCGGGCGGUGCCGCCCGAUCAAAGGGCGUCGCACUGCUUUGGGUCGGCGGUGUCAAAGCCGUCGACUUUUAACGGUCGGACAAUACCACCGGAGCGGUCGCGUCGGUCCGUCGGGCCUCAGGGUUCGGCGGUCGCCGGCGCGGCCCGUAAUCGUCCGAGGUGCCCUUAACAAGGUGUCUCGGGCGGCCGGUAACGUUUACUUUGAACAAAUUAGAGUGCUCCAAGCAGGUGCAUACCUUCGCCUGAAUAGUACAGCAUGGAAUGAUGGAAUAGGACCUCGGUCUUAUUUUGUUGGUUUUUCUAGACCCGAGGUAAUGGUUAAUAGAGACGGACGGGGGCAUUCGUACUGCGACGCUAGAGGUGAAAUUCUUGGACCGUCGCAAGACGAACGACUGCGAAAGCAUUUGCCAAGAAUGUUUUCAUUAAUCAAGAACGAAAGUUAGAGGUUCGAAGGCGAUCAGAUACCGCCCUAGUUCUAACCAUAAACGAUGCCGACCAGCGAUCCGCCGAAGUUACUCCCAUGACUCGGCGGGCAGCUUCCGGGAAACCAAAGUCUUUGGGUUCCGGGGGAAGUAUGGUUGCAAAGCUGAAACUUAAAGGAAUUGACGGAAGGGCACCACCAGGAGUGGAGCCUGCGGCUUAAUUUGACUCAACACGGGAAACCUCACCAGGCCCGGACACUGGAAGGAUUGACAGAUUGAGAGCUCUUUCUUGAUUCGGUGGGUGGUGGUGCAUGGCCGUUCUUAGUUGGUGGAGCGAUUUGUCUGGUUAAUUCCGAUAACGAACGAGACUCUAGCCUGCUAAAUAGGUGGCGGGUUUAUCAUUGAAUUUGGGUUCGGUGUUCGUCGGGAUCAGGGCGUCGCGUGCGGGUCGCGUCGGUCCGAAAUCGGGCGCGCGCGCGCGCGCGUGGCGGUCGGGUGGCGAGGCGUUUCGGCGUCGGACUGCUCGGUCGUUGCGUGCGUGCGUGUGAGUUCGGUGGAGGUCGGCGCGGUCCGCGCGCGGGGUUCCCCGGCGGUUCGCACCGUUCUCGCGUCCGUCACAGCUCUUCUUAGAGGGACAAGCGGCGUUUAGCCGCGUGACAGUGAGCAAUAACAGGUCUGUGAUGCCCUUAGAUGUCCUGGGCCGCACGCGCGCUACACUGAAGGAAUCAGCGUGUUUUCUUCCCCCUGUCCGAAAGGACCGGGUAACCGCUGAACCUCCUUCGUGGUUGGGAUUGUGGACUGCAAUGAUCCACAUGAACCAGGAAUCCCUAGUAGGCGCGAGUCACUAGCUCGCGUCGAUUACGUCCCUGCCCUUUGUACACACCGCCCGUCGCUACUACCGAUUGAAUGAUUUAGUGAGGACUUGGGACGGUCGCGUCGGGGGUCUCGUUUUCGGGUUUCGGCUCGGAUUCGGGGCUCUAAU
rnacentral:rRNA from 1 species